rnacentral:misc_RNA from 1 species
AACGCAAAUUGCGCUCGAGGCUUCGGCCAAGAGCAUGCCUGCCUCAGCGUCGGGUUACUGUUACAUCACCAAAGAUCUGAUGUCCUAGCAGGACUCGGUGAAGGGUGGAUCUGGCUUUCUCCGUGUGGCGUCUUGGUCUUCUGAUGGGAAGCACCCUCCUCAUCACAACACAUGUGUUGUGGUGAAAUGUUCAGAAAGCUGUGCACGGAGCGUGUGAGCCUCCGGAUCACACACAAGUGUCUUCUUCAUAUACAAUUCUAUACAGGAAAACCUUUGAACAACACCUCGAGCUGAGCGCAGGCAAGACUACCCGCUGAACUUA